AUUAAAUAUAAACUAUUUAAAUUAAAAGAAAAUAUAUUUGCUAUUAAUUGAGAAUUAAUAUUUAUAAGAUACAAAUUAUAAGUUAUGUUCCAAAGUAUACUACUAAUACUAACUACCUAAAUAUAUAUAUAACAAUCCAAAACAAAACAAACAUACAAAGAAAUAUGCUGGCCCGAUCUCCAUUAAACUCCAACAGGUGAAGUGGAAAAGAGAAUAAUACUGCAAUAGAAGUUGCUAGUGCUGGAGUAAGCAAAAAAAGAUAUGAAAUGUUAGAAAAAAAAAAUAAAGGAUUAGUACAACUACUCAGUGAGUGAAUAAAUAAAUAACA
rnacentral:misc_RNA from 1 species